UGAAUAGCUGUUGAGAUAGAACUGGAAAUAGAGUUGGAAUAGCUGUUGAAGGAACAAAGAAAAGUGAAUGGCAAGAAUUGUUGGUGUCAAAAAUACAAGAUUUUAACACAGCCCGCAUACCACCAGAAAGACCUAUCAGCAAUUGGUUAUGAAAAUAGGAAGACGGGAUAUUGCCUGCCGUCUGGAUGGAAUUAACAAAUAAGGUGAUGCUUGAUUCUAAGGUGAUGCCAAGUUCAGAGUUUGAAUUUGAAAAGUAACAUAUAAUAAUCUUAGAUUUAGUGG
rnacentral:lncRNA from 1 species